AUUGAACGCUGGCGGCAGGCCUAACACAUGCAAGUCGAACGAGUGGCGGACGGGUGAGUAAUGUCUGGGAAACUGCCCGAUGGAGGGGGCUAACUACUGGAAACGGUAGCUAAUACCGCAUACCAUCGGAUGUGCCCAGAUGGGAUUAGCUAGUAGGUGGGGUAAUGGCUCACCUUGGCGACGAUCCCUAGCUGGUUUGAGAGGAUGACCAGCCACCCUGGAACGGGGACACGGUCCAGACUCCUACGGGAGGCAGCAGUGGGGAAUUUUGCACAAUGGGCGCAAUCCUGAUGCAGCCAUGCCGCGUGUAUGAAGAAGGCCUUCGGGUUGUAAAGUACUUUCAGCGGGGAGGCGUUACCCGCAGAAGAAGCACCGGCUAACUCCGUGCCAGCAGCCGCGGUAAUAC
rnacentral:rRNA from 1 species